AUUGAACGCUGGCGGCAUGCUUUACACAUGCAAGUCGAACGGUAACGCGGGGGCAACCCUGGCGACGAGUGGCGAACGGGUGAGUAAUACAUCGGAACAUGUCCUGGAGUGGGGGAUAGCUCGGCGAAAGCCGGAUUAAUACCGCAUACGCUCUGAGGAGGAAAGCGGGGGACCUGGUAACGGGCCUCGCGCUGCGGGAGUGGCCGAUGUCGGAUUAGCUAGUUGGUGAGGAAAGGCUCACCAAGGCGACGAUCCGUAGCUGGUCUGAGAGGAUGAUCAGCCACACUGGGACUGAGACACGGCCCAGACUCCUACGGGAGGCAGCAGUGGGGAAUUUUGGACAAUGGGGGCAACCCUGAUCCAGCCAUGCCGCGUGAGUGAAGAAGGCCU
rnacentral:rRNA from 1 species